rnacentral:lncRNA from 1 species
AAUCUUCCCAUAGUACAGAGGAAGACAAGUAAAUUUUAUAUGUAAGUGUUAUCAUUUUCAUUCAUAUUAAGAGUAGAUUGAAUAGGCAAGUGGACUUCACAUGUAAUCACUGUUCACCUGAAAGCCUAUACAGACCCUAUUCUACUGCCUCAGCUCCACUGGAGUCUCACUGAGCCUACUCUGGCUUUGGAGGUGCCAAGUCACCAAGAGAGAUUCUCAGAGGCCCAUUGCAUCUAUUUCUCUCUUGCAUCAACUGGGCAUCAUGAUUAUCAAGUCUGCCGUGAUGUCUAUCUACAUUUGGGCAAGAAUACAAAUGAAGGUUCACCUGAAAGUUAUGAAGGAGGCUAAGAAAUUGUUACAUAAUACGUAAUAUAAUUUUCUACCAUGUAAAAUAUAACUCUAUAAAAACAGA